UACGAGCAGAUCUUAGGCUAGACCCUGAGGAUAGCAACAGUUAAUAAGUGCAGAUUCUCAGUCUCCUGGAUCUUAAAGUAUAAUGGAGUGAUUGACACUUGAACAGGAAAAUUACAGUAGAGUGUGGAAUUUUGUCUCACUACUAUAGGCAGUGGAUCAUCAACCUAGAUUCCUAAGCUGAAACAUGUCUUGGAUAGAUUUGCUCUUUGAGAAGAUAACCCAAGAAGACAUGGAAGACAAGGAGCAACUAUUUCAGUGGUCCUGCUGGAAACUGAUGAGGACUUGAGCCCAAGACAUUGUGGAUGGAGAGGCAGGAUGAAUGAGAGGGGCGGAGGACCUUGGCUUUUCCAUUCAGAACACGGCUCCCACCAGCCACACCUGCACAGUGGCCAAGAAACCACAGAAGCCUGUGCCGCCGUCCCCAGGACUGCGAGACAGUUGGGUGCUGAAGAAUUGCUUUCUGGAGGAUCCAGUGCUUCUCCAGUGCAUGGAAGAAUUGAUGCUUUUGAACUGUGGUGUUGGAGAAGACUCUUGAGAGUCCC